rnacentral:tRNA from 1 species
GAUAAGCCAAUAAAAAAAGCCGGAAUAGCUCAGUUGGUAGAGCAGAGGAC